GCCAGCAGCCAUAUCACCCUGCAACUCCCAGCUGGCAGCCCACUGGAGCUCAGCAGGUGUGAGCCUGGUCAGUACCUGGAUGGGAGACCUCCUGGGAAAAACUAAGGCUGCUGCUGGAA
rnacentral:rRNA from 1 species